GGGGCUAAAGGAGAGACUUUGCUGACCAAAAGAUUUUGAAGAAACAAGAUGUCUGGAUCUAACAAGGGAGUGACUGGAUUGUGCAUCAUGCUAGGAAACGCUGGGCAAAAGAUUGAACUGCUUUGGUUUUCUUGCCUAUACGUGAGCCGAGGAAGAGGUAUAAUGAGUUUCGGUUAAGACCCUGUUGAAAAAUACCCUAUGGAAAUAACUGAAAAUGGAUUUUUUUUAAUCACAAUUUGUACCACCUUACAAGAUUUGAACAGUGAAUUUUCCAGCAAUUAAUACAAUAGGUAGAGAUGACAGAGAAAAUAGUUUUUCAUUUGAUUAACUACAGAUGUCAGUGUGCAUGCAUGCCAAACUGUUCCUCAACUUUGGAAACAGUCUUCCCCUCUAUAGGAAGAGAAAUAACAGCAGGAGAUGGACACUGACUACAGGACCUGGAAGGUGUUUCAGGUUACUUGAAGGCAAAUCCAAGCCAAUCAAUUGUUAGAUACUUAGUAGUUGUUAAUUGCAUCACUUUCUGUCACAGCACAGCUGUGCUGCUGUAAUUUGGUUUCUGCUGCACAAAACCUGUGCUUAUUUAUAGCUUGUAUAAUUGCACACUAGAAUGGCUUUAGAUAGUGAGGAGAUGAAUCAAUCAGUAGUGGCUAGCACUUUCUUAAGCAGACAAAAAAGAUCCAAUGGUCCAGGGUGGACCUUUGAGACACUGAAAGAACCUAACUGCCAUGGACCAUGGUGGAAAAAUUUGGAGGGAAUUCUAAGGUGCAGAGGACAUCUCUUUGCUGUGGACAUCUCUGUGUUAUGGAUGCACUCAGUACUUCUAGUGAGUUUUCUCCAAAAUCAAGCACGCCAUCUGUGCCCUGUUUGGAUAUAGACAUUAUUUUUAAUUCCUUUCUGUUAGGUGUCACUCAGCACCUGCAAAUGUAUUCUCAUCUUUGAUGUGUGAUUGCUUGAUUAUUCAAGCUCUCUCAUCAAACUUAACUUGUAGUUGUUGCACCUGUACUGACAGCAUCUGUUCUGCCUGUGCUACAGGAUGGCCUCCAAACCAAACUCCUUGCAGGUCUGGUCUCCCAUGGCCUUGCUGCGUAUGCUACUUUGAAAAUGUGUGUGUACAAUGUUAACCUGUCACAAUUCUCCUCUGUCACAUACCUAUUUUAUACACAGAGGUUCUAAUGGAGAACUCAUUUUUGGAUUGCUGAUGUGCUCUCUUGAAAUGACUCAGGGUGAUUCCUUUGGAGCAUCCCUUUAGACCUGGAUUGGUUGAUGUAAAGAAAAAUAAUGGCAGUGUUGCAAGGGCUUUGCUGUACAGCUCCUUUCAGAUAAGUCGUGUGGGUUCCUGCCUGGCUAGCUUGAUCAUGUCUCUCUUUUUCACAUGACGUGAGUGUUUCAGAAAGAUUUCUAUACUAGGGACAAAAAAAAACUUGAAAACUCUUGAAAAUCUGAAACAGUUUUACUCCAAUUAGGUGGGAGGAGAUCAGAGUUUUAGGCUGAAAUGAAGUACAAUCCCUUUGAAGUGCUGAAUAAAUAGUAGCAGCCCUCAGAAGGAAGAGAACUGACAAUGUCUGAGUUUUACUGAGAUGUAAAAAAAAAAUUAUUAGCUACGGCAGAAAAGGUGAUGUGUUCCUUUGUUUUUAAUUCCUGCUCUCAUCCCUUCCUGCAGACUUCCAACCUUCCAUAACCUACGAUUUUUUUUUUUUAAUAUGAUGACAAACACUUUGACUUGUUUAAUUGGAUGCUAUGUAACCAAUUCACUCUGUGCAACUCUUAGAAAAUAUAGCAGAAUUACCGGGAUGGACUUUGAUCUUAAGUCUAUCUUAAGAUCAAGACUGCCCAAGUAAGUGGAGGUACCACUGCCAAUGACUAAUGCUACAGUGAAUAAUUUAAUAUUCUUGUACAACUACAUUUAUUUCUGGUCCCCAAAGCAUAGUGUAUAGAAACAGAGGCUUUUGUAUACUUGGAGUGCAUAAUAAAGUAUGGUAAAACAGAGCAACUAAUAGGAAGAAAAAUGUAUGUAUGUGUGGGCAAACCUUGAUUUUGCCAAAAGAAUGUAACUUGCUGCUGUUUUAAUUUGUGAUGUGAAUACAGCAAAUCUGCAAUUAAGCCUUCUAGCAGGUCUGUGGGAUUGGUAAUUGUUUUGUAAUCCUUCCUUGGAACGCAAUAAAUGCAAACAGUAAU
ensembl:lncRNA